UUCAGAAUCUUGCACAAUGGACGAAAGUCUGAUGCAGCCAUGCCGCGUGUGCGAAGAAGGCCUUCGGGUCGUAAAGCACUGUCAGAGGGAAAGAUUAUGACGGUACCCUCAAAGGAAGCCACGGCUAAUUACGUGCCAGCAGCCGCGGUAAUACGUAAGUGGCGAGCGUUAUCCGGAAUUACUGGGCGUAAAGCGUUCGUAGGCGGUGCAGUAAGUUGGGUUUGAAAGCCCGGGGCUCAACUCCGGACCCGGAUCCAAAACUACUGUACUGGAGCGUAUCAGGGGGCAGCGGAAUUCCCGGUGUAGCGGUAAUAUGCGUAGAUAUCGGGAGGAACACCAGUGGCGAAGGCGGCUGCCUGGGGUAUUGCUGACGCUGAGGAACGAAGGCCAGGGGAGCGAACGGGAUUAGAUACCCCCGUAGUCC
rnacentral:rRNA from 1 species